rnacentral:rRNA from 1 species
CAGCAGCCACGGUAAUACGUAGGGUGCAAGCGUUAAUCGGAAUUACUGGGCGUAAAGCGUGCGCAGGCGGUUAUAUAAGACAGAUGUGAAAUCCCCGGGCUCAACCUGGGAACUGCAUUUGUGACUGUAUAGCUAGAGUACGGCAGAGGGGGAUGGAAUUCCGCGUGUAGCAGUGAAAUGCGUAGAUAUGCGGAGGAACACCGAUGGCGAAGGCAAUCCCCUGGGCCUGUACUGACGCUCAUGCACGAAAGCGUGAGGAGCAAACAGGAUUAGAUACCCCCGUAGUCCCUGUCUCUUAUAC